rnacentral:rRNA from 1 species
UACGUAGGGGGCUAGCGUUGUCCGGAAUCAUUGGGCGUAAAGCGUGUGUAGGCGGACUUCUAAGUACCUUGUGAAAUCCCACGGCUCAACCGUGGAACUGCUUGGUAUACUGGUCGUCUUGAGCCAUCUAGGGGCUGUCGGAACAAAUGGUGGAGCGGUGAAAUGCGUAGAUAUCAUUUGGAACGCCAAAGGUGAAAACAGACAGCUGGGGAUGUGCUGACGCUGAGACACGAAAGCCAGGGGAGCGAACGGG